GUGAUGUCUCAUACAAGUUACAUGGCUUCUAUUUUGUAUUACCAAGAAGACAAGUUGUGUUGCAACUGUUUAUGAGGUGCUUACUAUUACAUGUUUUCACAAAUUCAUAAGAUAAACCUAACAGCACUUGGAGUGGAAGACCUUUAAUUCUUCAUUCAACACCUGGACGGACUGGAAGAGUUAACAAAUCCCAUUGAUCAUGACUUAGACUAUGACUGAUUCACUUAGCAGUGCUUGAACAACAUCAAGACCACCUCUGUUUCUUACUCUGCUGUCCCCUGGCGAGAAUGCCAAAGGUGGGUGAGAGUUUGGGACCAGACACAGCCAGGACCACUGACCUCAGCUGACUAAAGGAAUAUCCCAUACUGUGUAACAUCACACUUACCAAUAAACUGAGGAGCAGUCUUUCCAAAGUACCAUUAGAGUCUGUAUGAGGCCAGUCAUUGUUCUGCUGGUAGGAGGUGUUUUCUCCUUCUUUCCUCUGGGGGCAAGGAGUGAGUGAGCAGCUGGUGCUUAGUUGUUAGCUGGGUCAAUCCACCACAGAAGUGAAAGUGAGCUGGAAUAAAAAGAACUACAGAGCAGCUGAGGUGACAAGGCACCUCUGGAGAUCAUCUCAGCCAAAUUCCCUGUUUACAGCUAGGUCAACCAGAGAAAGCUACUCUGGGUUGUGUUCAUUUAUGUUUUUAAUAUCUCCAAGAAGGAAGACUUCACAAACUUUCUGGGCAAUCUUUAUCAGUAAUCAAUCACCCUCAGUAAAAGAGUGAUUCCUAAUGUUCAGGUGUCACAUCCUGUGUUUUAGUUUGUGCCAACUGCUUCUACUCCUGACACUGGGUACCACUGAAAAGAACCUGGCUUCAUACUCUUUGCACUCUCCCUUUAGGUGUUUAUUAAUGUUGAUGAGAUCCCACAGAGCCUUCUCUUGUCCAGGCUGAAGACUUACUCUCCCUCAGUCUCUUCUCACAGGACAAAUGAUCACUUGAGCAUCUUCAUGACUCUUUUCUGGACUCACUUGAUCUGCAUGUCUCUCCAGGGAGCCCAGAACAGGAGACAGCAGUCCAGGCAUGGCCUCACCAGAGCUGGGUAGAACUGCUUUACUUUUUUAAAGGAUUUUGGACUUGAAUGUGAAACUUACAUCUUUGUCAAAUAGUUUACCUUCAGCAACCCAAACUUUGCAAAUUUUUUGUACAUCCUACGAACAAAGGACAAUAGAUAGUGAGUAUAUGGGAGCCCAUGUAAAAAAAGAAACUGUAAGAAAACACAUCAAUGGAAAAGAUCUUUUUAUGGAGCGAUAAGAUUGUAUGACAGAUGAUCUUAGUAAAAUACUAUUCUU